rnacentral:rRNA from 1 species
CCUUGACCUCAAAUCGGGUGAGACUACCCGCUGAACUUAAGCAUAUCAAUAAG